rnacentral:lncRNA from 9 species
CGGGGCCCGGGAUGGGCUCCCGGCCUGAGCCGCGGGAAGCCGAGCUCCGGCUCCGGCUCCGGCUCCGGCUCCGGCUCCGGCUCCGACGUGCCGCCGCCUUGUCGCUGCGGAUGCGCAAAGCUGCUGGCGGGGCUGCCGCCCGGCCUCUGCAGGUGAUUUGCAUCUUAGCAAAAACUACUUCCAAGCCCUGAGCAAAGGACAGAUUUAAAAAGGAACGCCCGUCAGAUGAUGGUGGUUCAACCAAAAUUAACAGGAGUUCCUGGUGUGGCACAGUGGAAAUGAAUCCGACCAGUACCCGUGAGGACACAGGUUCGAUCCCUGGCCUUGCUCAGUGGGGUAAGGAUCCAGCGUUGCCGUGAGCUGGGGUGUUGGUCGCAGACUUGGCUUGGAUCCUGCAUUGCUGUGGCUGUGGGGUAGGCCAGCAGCUGUAGCUCCAUUUUGACCCCUGGCCUGGGAACUCCACGUGUUGUGGGUGUGCCCUAAAAAGCAAAAAGCGACGAGAUCAACAGCACAAAAUUGUGAUGUUCACUUAGGUGUUGAAAGUGGGACUCAGUGUCAUCAGUUCCUAAAACCUUGUCUAUAGGUUCUCUGGAAAUGCUGCCUGUCGGGGGUGCGUUGCUACCAAACCUCUCAGGCUUAGCGUUCACUACCUACAUCCUUGUGCGCUUAGGCUUCUUUUUUUCUGGAUACAAAUAAUGGAUGCACGUACAUGCAGUUAAGAUGACCCCACACUGUUCCCAGCCAGCUGGCCCCACAACAAGCUCGUUUUUUUCCCCAAACACCAGCAUCUGGUGUGACCUCUGGUCAGAGAAACAUAUUAUGUUUUAAUUCUUACACAUUGGCUCACUCGUAUGUUCCUUCAAAAUCAGACAUUUAUGUUAGAAAGUGCUACUAGAAAGCCUGUUGGAGUUCCCGUUGUGCCGCAGUGAAACGAGUCCCACUAGGAACCAUGAGGUUGCGGGUUCAAUCCCUGGCCUUGUUCAGUGGGUUAAGAUCCAGCGUUGUUGUGAGCUGUGGUGUAGAUUGCAGACGCGGCUCGGAU